UAUAAUGUGGCCUAGUGACUUGGGUGUUGGUCUAUUACUCUGGAGACCAGGGUUCAAUUCCCAGCAUGGCCA